UACGUAGGGGGCAAGCGUUAUCCGGAAUGAUUGGGCGUAAAGGGUCCGCAGGUGGCAAUGUAAGUCUGCUGUCAAAGAAUGAGGCUUAACCUCAUCAAGGCAGUGGAAACUACAUAGCUAGAGUACGGUCGGGGUAGAAGGAAUUCUUGGUGCAGCGGUGAAAUGCGUAGAGAUCAGGAAGAACACCGGUGGCGAAAGCGUUCUGCUAGACCUGUACUGACACUGAGGGACGAAAGCUAGGGGAGCGAAUGGG
rnacentral:rRNA from 1 species